CAGAGCUGCUUCAUCUCAAAGCUCGAGUAAAUGAAUAAAUGCACAGCUUGCAAAGCUGGCAGCUUCAUGAAUGGGAGGACAGCCGGAGGGUGAGGGACUGAAUGAGUGCCCAGCACAACAUAACAGGAUGACGCUGGAUCUGAAAAGAAUGAUCAGGAGGUGGAGAAUACAGUGAAUUCCCUAUCUGACCUUGCUGGUACUUUAUAUACAAGAGAAUGAGAGAUUUCCCAGCUGAUACUACCACAGAAGCCUUUGGGAGACCUGCGCCAUGCCCCUUAAACGUGGCAGCACCCGGGAAUGGGUGCAGGCAGAACUCCCAUAAUCUGGGCCUCAAAGAGGUUGGUGCCAGUGUUUGGAUAAAAUGUGAUUGCUGCUAUCCAGUAGAGGGCAGUGCUUAAAUUCAGAGCCAGCGUGGAGCCAUUGGGCAGAGCGUAAAUGGAAGAAGGUGGUCUCCAGAGUGAAUUUGAAGCCCUUCUGCAAAUGCAUAUGAGUCUGA